rnacentral:rRNA from 1 species
CCCUUAGAUGUCCGGGGCCGCACGCGCGCUACGCUGAAGGAAUCAGCGUGGCUUUCUCCCUGACCCGAAAGGGUUGGGAAACCCGUUGAAUCUCCUUCGUGGUAGGGAUUGGGGCUUGAAAUUGUUCCCCAUGAACGAGGAAUUCCCAGUAAGCGCGAGCCAUAAGCUCGCGUUGAUUACGUCCCUACCCUUUGUACACACCGCCCGUCGCUACUACCGAUUGAACGGUUUAGUGAGGGCCUCGGAUUGGUCUCGGCCCGCUCUUUACCGGGCGGCGCCGUUGGUCGAGAAGACGCUCGAACUUGAUCGUUUAGAGGAAGUAAAAGUCGUAACA